ACACUCUGGUUUCUCCCCAGCACGCACAAGCUUUUGUCUUUUACUAAAGACUUCCGUGGAGAGGAAAUUACGAGUAUCAACCAUUUUUAAGAUGCCCUGCUCAGGCGGGGCU